rnacentral:rRNA from 1 species
AUUAGCUUGUUGGUGGGGUAAUGGCCUACCAAGGCGACGAUGGGUAGCCGGCCUGAGAGGGUGUCCGGCCACACUGGGACUGAGAUACGGCCCAGACUCCUACGGGAGGCAGCAGUCGAGAAGCUUCGGCAAUGGGCGAAAGCCUGACCGGGCGAUGCCGCGUGAGUGAAGAAGGCCCUAUGGGUUGUAAAGCUCUGUCAGAUUGGGAAGAAAACUCUGCGGUUAAUACCCGUGGAGCUUGACGGUACCAUCAGAGGAAGCACCGGCUAACUCCGUGCCAGCAGCCGCGGUAAUACGGAGGGUGCAAGCGUUGUUCGGAUUCACUGGGUAUAAAGGGUGCGCAGGCGGCCCGAUGAGUCAGGGGUGAAAUAUGACGGCUUAACCGUCAAACUGCCCCUGAAACUGUCAGGCUUGAGUUCGAGAGAGGUAGGUGGAAUUCCAGGUGUAGCGGUGAAAUGCGUAAAUAUCUGGAGGAACACCGGUGGCGAAGGCGGCCUACUGGCUCGAUACUGACGCUCAGGCACGAAAGCAUGGGGAGCGAACGGGAUUAGAUACCCCGGUAGUCCAUGCCGUAAACGAUGGGUACUAGGUGUUGGAGGAUUCUACCCCUUCAGUGCCGCAGCUAACGCAUUAAGUACCCCACCUGGGGAGUACGAUCGCAAGGUUGAAACUCAAAGGAAUUGACGGGGGCCCGCACAAGCGGUGGAGCAUGUGGUUUAAUUCGAUGCAACGCGAAGAACCUUACCUGGGCUUGACAUGCAGGGGACAGAUGUAGAAAUACAUCCUUCUUCGGACUCCUGUACAGGUGCUGCAUGGCUGUCGUCAGCUCGUGUCGUGAAAUGUUGGGUUAAGUCCCGCAACGAGCGCAACCCUUGUCUUUAGUUGCCAUCAGGUUAUGCUGGGGACUCUAGAGAGACUGCCGGUGACAAACCGGAGGAAGGUGGGGACGACGUCAAGUCAUCAUGGCCCUUACGCCCAGGGCUACACACGUGCUACAAUGGUCGGUACAAAGGGCUGCAAUACAGCAAUGUGGAGCGAAUCCCAAAAAGCCGGCCUCAGUUCGGAUCGUAGUCUGCAACUCGACUACGUAAAGUUGGAAUCGCUAGUAAUCGCGUAUCAGAACGACGCGGUGAAUACGUUCCCGGGCCUUGUACACACCGCCCGUCAAGUCAUCCGAGUUGGCUGCACCCCAAGUCGCUG